AAUUUUCUCAUGUUUAUAUGUUUGUUUAUAUUUUCUGCAAAUCAAAGUAAAUAAUCAAACUCGUUGUUUUCAUGACUGAAUAAACUGAAAACUUUUUGGGACACGCCCCCUUUUUGUUGCACGCGGCCCGUGCGUGCGCACGGCUCCUUUCAACGGGUCAAGCGCAAGUUCGGGAGCCAUUUUAAAUCAUCGUGUAGCUGCAGCCGUCAACUGUCACCGGAUUACUCGGACGUUUGAUGGACGAAAACGCCGGUCGCACUCGGGGAUCGACACUUUUUGCCUGCCAUGACGAUGACGCGCCAGAGAUGCAGCAGCUAACAUCAUGCAGUGACAGUCUUUACAACAUUUGCAGUAAAGCGUUGAGCAGAGAGAGUCUUCGGAGCAGCAUCUUGGGGAGACACAAAUUAACCCGGUGGCCUGCUCAACUACUGGAUGAUCAAACAGACGAGAAAACUGCCCUCCUGAAAGCUCUGCUGAAUCUAAAGGACGUGGAAAAUGACACCAUCGAGGUUCUCCUAAAUAUGGCUGAAAACACUGGAGAUUUAAAAAAAAAUCUGAUCAACGCAUCUUACACAGAAUAUAAACAAAUGUCAGCAGAUGUGUGA
rnacentral:lncRNA from 1 species